rnacentral:rRNA from 1 species
AUUGAACGCUAGCGGGAUGCCUUACACAUGCAAGUAGAACGGAGUGGCGAACGGGUGAGUAAUGUAUCGGAACGUGCCCAGUAGCGGGGGAUAACUACGCGAAAGCGUAGCUAAUACCGCAUACUAUUGGAGCGGCCGAUAUCGGAUCACCAAGUUGGUGGGGUCACGGCUCACCAAGGCGACGAUCAGUAGCUGGUUUGAGAGGACGACCAGCCACACUGGGACUUAAACACGGCCCAGAAGCCUACGGGAGGCACCAUUGGGGAGUGUUGGACAAUGGGGGAAACCCUGAUCCAGCCAUCACGCGUGUGCGAUGAAGGCCUUCGGGUGGUAAAGCACUUUUGGCAGGAAAGCGGUACCUGCAGAAUAAGCACCGGCUAACUACGUGCCAGCAGCCGCGGUAAUUC